AGUGAACGCUGGCGGUAGGCCUAACACAUGCAAGUCGAACGGCAGCACAGUAAGAGCUUGCUCUUACGGGUGGCGAGUGGCGGACGGGUGAGGAAUACAUCGGAAUCUACUUUUUCGUGGGGGAUAACGUAGGGAAACUAACGCUAAUACCGCAUACGACCUACGGGUGAAAGCAGGGGUUCUUCGGCCCUUGCCCGAUUGAUUGAGCCGAUGUCGGAUUAGCUAGUUGGCGGGGUAAAGGCCCACCAAGGCGACGAUCCGUAGCUGGUCUGAGAGGAUGAUCAGCCACACUGGAACUGAGACACGGUCCAGACUCCUACGGGAGGCAGCAGUGGGGAAUAUUGGACAAUGGGCGCAAGCCUGAUCCAGCCAUACCGCGUGAGUGAAGAAGGCCUUCGGGUUGUAAAGCCCUUUUGUUGGGAAAGAAAAGCAGCAGGUUAAUACCCCGCUGUUCUGACGGUACCCAAAGAAUAAGCACCGGCUAACUUCGUG
rnacentral:rRNA from 1 species